rnacentral:rRNA from 1 species
ACACUCCUACGGGAGGCAGCAGUGGAGAAUAUUGGACAAUGGGCGCAAGCCUGAUCCAGCCAUGCCGCGUGAGUGAUGAAGGCCCUAGGGUUGUAAAGCUCUUUCACCGGUGAAGAUAAUGACGGUAACCGGAGAAGAAGCCCCGGCUAACUUCGUGCCAGCAGCCGCGGUAAUACGAAGGGGGCUAGCGUUGUUCGGAUUUACUGGGCGUAAAGCGCACGUAGGCGGACUAUUAAGUCAGGGGUGAAAUCCCGGGGCUCAACCCCGGAACUGCCUUUGAUACUGGUAGUCUUGAGUUCGAGAGAGGUGAGUGGAAUUCCGAGUGUAGAGGUGAAAUUCGUAGAUAUUCGGAGGAACACCAGUGGCGAAGGCGGCUCACUGGCUCGUUACUGACGCUGAGGUGCGAAAGCGUGGGGAGCAAACAGGAUUAGAAACCCUUGUAGUCCCAUG